rnacentral:lncRNA from 10 species
ACUUGACACUAAUCUGACAGAGGGAUGUACAGGAAAAUCUGCAGGCCUGGGUGUCAGCCCUGAGUCAGGACUCUGACUCUGUUGCUUCUUAGCUGUGGGACCAUGGUUGCAUGAUCAAGCUGACUUGAGGGUUCUGAACAGAAGCUGACCAGUCUACUGCACAUUGUAAAGAAGUUAAAAAGCUGGAUUGAAUUGCAAAAUGUACUACUCAAGGAGUCCAAAGAAUAAAAUAUGAGCAGCUUGUGGGGGUAAAGCAUUCGUAGGUAUAGUAUAGAAAAG